GGGAGCUUGCUCCUUGAUUCAGCGGCGGACGGGUGAGUAAUGCCUAGGAAUCUGCCUGGUAGUGGGGGACAACGUUUCGAAAGGAACGCUAAUACCGCAUACGUCCUACGGGAGAAAGCAGGGGACCUUCGGGCCUUGCGCUAUCAGAUGAGCCUAGGUCGGAUUAGCUAGUUGGUGGGGUAAUGGCUCACCAAGGCGACGAUCCGUAACUGGUCUGAGAGGAUGAUCAGUCACACUGGAACUGAGACACGGUCCAGACUCCUACGGGAGGCAGCAGUGGGGAAUAUUGGACAAUGGGCGAAAGCCUGAUCCAGCCAUGCCGCGUGUGUGAAGAAGGUCUUCGGAUUGUAAAGCACUUUAAGUUGGGAGGAAGGGCAGUAAGUUAAUACCUUGCUGUUUUGACGUUACCGACAGAAUAAGCACCGGCUAACUCUGUGCCAGCAGCCGCGGUAAUACAGAGGGUGCAAGCGUUAAUCGGAAUUACUGGGCGUAAAGCGCGCGUAGGUGGUUUGUUAAGUUGGAUGUGAAAGCCCCGGGCUCAACCUGGGAACUGCAUC
rnacentral:rRNA from 1 species